AGAGUUUGAUUCUGGCUCAGAUUGAACGCUGGCGGCGUGCCUUACACAUGCAAGUCGAACGUGAAAGUACUUUCGGGUACGAGUAAAGUGGCGCACGGGUGAGUAACGCGUGGAUAAUCUACCAAGAAGUUUGGGAUAACAGCUGGAAACGGCUGCUAAUACCGAAUACGCUGCAUAUCUAUCUUAUGUGGGAAAGAUGGCCUCUGCAUAUGCUGUUGCUUUUUGAUGAGUCCGCGUACCAUUAGCUGGUUGGUGGGGUAAAGGCCUACCAAGGCGACGAUGGUUAACUGGUCUGAGAGGAUGAUCAGUCACACUGGAACUGGAACACGGUCCAGACUCCUACGGGAGGCAGCAGUGGGGAAUAUUGCGCAAUGGGCGAAAGCCUGACGCAGCGACGCCGCGUGAGGGAUGAAGGUCUUCGGAUCGUAAACCUCUGUCAGCAGGGAAGAACGGUCACUGUGCUAAUCAGCAGUGAAUUGACGGUACCUGCAAAGGAAGCACCGGCUAACUCCGUGCCAGCAGCCGCGGUAAUACGGAGGGUGCGAGCGUUAAUCGGAAUUACUGGGCGUAAAGCGCUCGUAGGUAGUAUGGCAAGUCAAGGGUGAAAUCCCCGCGCUCAACGUGGGAACUGCCUUUGAAACUGCUACACUUGAGUGUGUGAGAGGAUAGUGGAAUUCCAGGUGUAGGAGUGAAAUCCGUAGAUAUCUGGAGGAACAUCAGUGGCGAAGGCGACUAUCUGGCACAUAACUGACACUGAGGAGCGAAAGCGUGGGUAGCAAACAGGAUUAGAUACCCUGGUAGUCCACGCUGUAAACGAUGGAUACUAGGU
rnacentral:rRNA from 1 species